rnacentral:lncRNA from 10 species
CCCCUAGUAUCAGUAUACAGGGGACAUUCAGUUGUUGACUGCCUGAUGAAUGUUUGCCAGUAAUUAGAACUGAGAGACACUCAAAGAUUCUGGACUGUCUUCUGAGCAGAGAAUAAAAAGUAGCUAUCAUCUGCCCACCACAGACAUGAAAAAACAAGAAAGACAGUUUGCAGAGAGGAGAGAAUGAAACAGGACUGUAGAGAGAAGCAGAGACAAGAAAUGGAUCUUCCCAUCUCGUCAUGAGCUUCCACUUCCAGCAGUGCUUGAGGUAUUUUGCAGACCCUGUACUCAGUGGAUCAGCUGGCACCACGCAGAUGGAUAAACUGGCUCAUCUGGUCUUCUGGCCCCACCCAGGAACUGAUUCAGCACAAGAGGACAGCUUCACCUUCCUAUGAUUUCAUCUGUGACCCCACCAAUCAGCACACCCCACUUUCCAACCCACUACUCACCAAAUUGUCCUUAAAAACCCUGAUCCCUGAGUUUUUG